AAAGCUCGUAGUUGAAUUUCGGGAUCAAAUUGUUGGUCGUGCUUCGGUACGCACUGGCAUUAUUGGUUCCUACCUUCUGAAGAACCGCGAUGUCAUUAAUUUGGUGUCGUGGGGAAUCAGGACUGUUACUUUGAAAAAAUUAGAGUGUUUAAAGCAGGCGUACGCUUGAAUACAUUAGCAUGGAAUAAUGAAAUAGGACGUUUGAUUCUAUUUUGUUGGUUUCUAGGAUCGACGUAAUGAUUAAUAGGGAUAGUUGGGGGCAUUAGUAUUCAAUUGUCAGAGGUGAAAUUCUUGGAUUUAUUGAAGACUAACUACUGCGAAAGCAUUUGCCAAGGAUGUUUUCAUUAAUCAAGAACGAAAGUUAGGGGAUCGAAGACGAUCAGAUACCGUCGUAGUCUUAACCAUAAACUAUGCCGACUAGGGAUCGGAUGAUGUUAAUUUUUUAAUGACUCAUUCGGCACCUUACGGGAA
rnacentral:rRNA from 1 species